rnacentral:rRNA from 1 species
UGCAAGUCGAACGCUUCUUUUUCCACCGGAGCUUGCUCCACCGGAAAAAGAGGAGUGGCGAACGGGUGAGUAACACGUGGGUAACCUGCCCAUCAGAAGGGGAUAACACUUGGAAACAGGUGCUAAUACCGUAUAACAAUCGAAACCGCAUGGUUUUGAUUUGAAAGGCGCUUUCGGGUGUCGCUGAUGGAUGGACCCGCGGUGCAUUAGCUAGUUGGUGAGGUAACGGCUCACCAAGGCGACGAUGCAUAGCCGACCUGAGAGGGUGAUCGGCCACAUUGGGACUGAGACACGGCCCAAACUCCUACGGGAGGCAGCAGUAGGGAAUCUUCGGCAAUGGACGAAAGUCUGACCGAGCAACGCCGCGUGAGUGAAGAAGGUUUUCGGAUCGUAAAACUCUGUUGUUAGAGAAGAACAAGGAUGAGAGUAACUGUUCAUCCCUUGACGGUAUCUAACCAGAAAGCCACGGCUAACUACGUGCCAGCAGCCGCGGUAAUACGUAGGUGGCAAGCGUUGUCCGGAUUUAUUGGGCGUAAAGCGAGCGCAGGCGGUUUCUUAAGUCUGAUGUGAAAGCCCCCGGCUCAACCGGGGAGGGUCAUUGGAAACUGGGAGACUUGAGUGCAGAAGAGGAGAGUGGAAUUCCAUGUGUAGCGGUGAAAUGCGUAGAUAUAUGGAGGAACACCAGUGGCGAAGGCGGCUCUCUGGUCUGUAACUGACGCUGAGGCUCGAAAGCGUGGGGAGCAAACAGGAUUAGAUACCCUGGUAGUCCACGCCGUAAACGAUGAGUGCUAAGUGUUGGAGGGUUUCCGCCCUUCAGUGCUGCAGCUAACGCAUUAAGCACUCCGCCUGGGG